rnacentral:tRNA from 1 species
GGAAGAGAGGCGACUAGCCAGGUCGUCGCGCUUGUUUGCUAAACAGGUGUUCCCUUCAUCGGGAACUGCGGGGGCAGCACCCGCCUCUUCCGCCA